CCACUCUUUGCAGGAGGCAGUUAUGAGACGUGAAGAUGAGUAUCUUGUAAAGAGGGAUAGGAGAAUUGGAGGGCAAGUUUGGUGCCAGCAGCCGCGGUAAUACCGACUCCAAGAGUGUGUAUCAGAGAUGCUGCAGUUAAAAAGUCCGUAGUCAUAGAAGGGCAAAGAGAGAUGCGAGGUCUCACAGUGCGAUGAUGGAGGAGCCGAUGGGGAACAUAGUAUACCAGGGCGAGAGAUGAAAUGCCAAGACCCCUGGUGGACUGAGCGAGGCGAAGGCGAUGUUCUUCGUAGGCAUUCGGUGAUCAAGGACGAAGGCUGGAGUAUCGAAAGUGAUUAGAUACCGCAGUAGUUCCAGCAGUAAAAGAUGCCGACAUGCUCAUUGGACACAGUGGGCAGGGAGAAAUCUUAGAGUUCGGGCUCUGGGGAUAGUAUGCUCGCAAGGGUGAAAAUUAAAGAAAUUGACGGAGCUACACCACAAGGAGUGGAUUGUGCGGCUUAAUUUGACUCAACGCGAGGAAACUUACCAGGGCCAAGUAUUGUGUAGAAACGAGCAAUACAGGAGUGGUGCAUGGUCGUUGGAAAUUGAUGGGAUGACUUUGACCUUAAAUGGUUGAAUGAGUGAGAUCUUUUGGACAUGUUCCGCACGGAACAGGAAGGAAAAGGCUAUAACAGAUCCGAGAUGCCCUCAGAUGCCCUGAGCUGCACGCGCAAUACAAUAGCAGGUAGAGAUAGAGACAGGAAGGUGCUC
rnacentral:rRNA from 1 species